GAACGAUGAAGCCCUUCGGGGUGGAUUAGUGGCGAACGGGUGAGUAACACGUGGGCAAUCUGCCCUUCACUCUGGGACAAGCCCUGGAAACGGGGUCUAAUACCGGAUAAUACUCUGUCCCGCAUGGGACGGGGUUGAAAGCUCCGGCGGUGAAGGAUGAGCCCGCGGCCUAUCAGCUUGUUGGUGGGGUAAUGGCCUACCAAGGCGACGACGGGUAGCCGGCCUGAGAGGGCGACCGGCCACACUGGGACUGAGACACGGCCCAGACUCCUACGGGAGGCAGCAGUGGGGAAUAUUGCACAAUGGGCGAAAGCCUGAUGCAGCGACGCCGCGUGAGGGAUGACGGCCUUCGGGUUGUAAACCUCUUUCAGCAGGGAAGAAGCGAAAGUGACGGUACCUGCAGAAGAAGCGCCGGCUAACUACGUGCCAGCAGCCGCGGUAAUACGUAGGGCGCAAGCGUUGUCCGGAAUUAUUGGGCGUAAAGAGCUCGUAGGCGGCUUGUCACGUCGGAUGUGAAAGCCCGGGGCUUAACCCCGGGUCUGCAUUCGAUACGGGCUAGCUAGAGUGUGGUAGGGGAGAUCGGAAUUCCUGGUGUAGCGGUGAAAUGCGCAGAUAUCAGGAGGAACACCG
rnacentral:rRNA from 1 species